rnacentral:lncRNA from 1 species
UGUCAAAAUAUUUAGUAGGGUCGGAUGCACGUGUACCUUGUCAGCAUAGAUUUGGCAUUUAUGACAUUUUCUAGCAUAAUUGAAGCAGUCGGAUUCCAUGGUCAACCAAUAAUAACCUGCUCUCAAAAUCUUCUUGGCCAUGGCAUGCCCAUUGGCAUGAGUUCCAAAGGAUCCUUCAUGAAUUUCCUUGAUCAGCAGAC